CUUGGCUUCUGCCAGGGGCAGGGCUGUGUAUGGGGUCCCCAGCGACCUCCUGUUGAUGCAGUUGAGGACUUUUGAGGUUAAGAUAAGUGUCAGAGCACAGGGCCCUGAUCUCUGAUGAGAGGCCAGUGGAAGGUCUGAGGAGCAUUAGAGUUCUAUGGCUCCAUCCUAUCCUUCAAUCCUCUCGUAAGUGACCAUCAGAAGGAGAAUACUUAAAUCAAUAACGGUACAUACUAUGGAAUGUUCUACAGCCAUCAAAAGCAAUGAAGUGUAUUUAUCUAUUUGUCUCUCAUCUAUGAUCUGACAGAGAAAAAUUGGGAGAGGAGCAGGCCCCAAGCAGCCACGACCUCGUGGAGCCUCGUGACCUCGUCUUCAAAUUCCUGGUGAUCGGCAGAGCGGGAACCAGCAGAUCCCGUGUUCUGCAGCGGCUCAUUGAGAAGAAGUUCAAGCAGGACUCCAAGCGCACAGUCGGCGAGGAGUCUGGACGUCGGCGGUCAGCGCGGGCGGGCAGCGCGUCACGGUCCACACUGGGACGCAGCGGGCCGGCGCUCGGGGUCGUCGACACCGAGUGUUGAAUAACUCUAAGGUGGAGAGGAAAGACUGUGAACCGAUGCCAGGAUCUUCAGUGAAUGAGUAAAGGUGUCAAAGUGUAACCAAAUAGUAUGAAACUUUGAGGAAGAAUCAGGGUUUUUCACCUGAGGUUAAAGGAAGAAUUAUCCGGAGGUUGUAAUGUGGAUGGAAAAGGAUGCCUGUCUUACCUCCUGACUCUUCGGUCCAUGCAUGUAUUGGUAUAAGUCACUUUCACUUGAAAGAGCUGCAAAGGAAGUUCUAUCCUCAUGGAAAAUCCAUGAAUAUUCAGGGAUGAGCUGGAGGAUGGUAGGAGAGUUUGUUAAUCACGGAAUGGUGUUCUAGAAGCCACAGCAGAAACACCUGGAAGUUAAGGUACAAGUGAAAGGUCAGGCGGGGGGAGAAGAAACAGGGAAACAUGGGGAAAGCAGUAACAAUAUAGUAAUUAAUAGUAACAAAAAUAGGGGUGCCUGGCUGGCUCAGUCAGUAGAGCAUGCAACUCUUAGUCUCAAGGUCGUGAGUUGAAGAAACACAUUGGGGGUAGAACUUACUUAAAAAAAAUAACAAUGCUUUGCAUGAAUUAUCUCAUUUAAUCCUCAUAGCAACCUCAUAAAAUAGAGCCUUUAUCCUAUAGAUGAGAAGACAAGCUCAGAGUUCCAGUCACUUGUCCAAGAUUACAUAGUAAAUAAGUUGGAUUGGGUGCUUACAUGUUGUCCAGUGACAGAGGAAAACAAAGAGGUGAAUGAGCAUGUGAGUUUGACAUAUCACAAGUUUGGCAGGAUGGUUAGUCCUAAC
rnacentral:lncRNA from 1 species